rnacentral:tRNA from 2 species
GGGCAUGUGGCGGAACUGGCAGACGCGUACGACUCAAAAUCGUAUGGGAGCAAUCUCAUGUGGGUUCGAUUCCCACCAUGCCCACCA